GACGAACGCUGGCGGCGUGCCUAAUACAUGCAAGUCGAGCGAAGUUUUUCUGGUGCUUGCACCGGAAAAACUUAGCGGCGAACGGGUGAGUAACACGUAAAGAACCUGCCUCAUAGACUGGGACAACUAUUGGAAACGAUAGCUAAUACCGGAUAACAGCAUUAACUGCAUGGUUGAUGUUUAAAAGUUGGUUUUGCUAACACUAUGAGAAGGCUUUGCGGUGCAUUAGCUAGUUGGUGGGGUAAAGGCCUACCAAGGCGACGAUGCAUAGCCGACCUGAGAGGGUGAUCGGCCACACUGGGACUGAGACACGGCCCAGACUCCUACGGGAGGCAGCAGUAGGGAAUCUUCCGCAAUGGGCGAAAGCCUGACGGAGCAACGCCGCGUGAGUGAAGAAGGAUUUCGGUUCGUAAAGCUCUGUUGUUAGGGAAGAAUGAUUGUGUAGUAACUAUACACAGUAGAGACGGUACCUAACCAGAAAGCCACGGCUAACUACGUG
rnacentral:rRNA from 1 species